UCCGAUAUGGUGUAACGGCUAACAUUACCGCCUUUCACAGGUAGUAAUGUGUGUAGUGCGCGGUAGCUCGGGGUUCGACUCCCCGUAUCGGAG